AGAGACCAGAAGAGGAAAUCGGAUUUCCUGGAACUGGGAUUAUGGACUGUUGCUGGCUGCCAUGUGGAUUCUGGGAACCGAAAGAGCAGCUACAUUCUGGAGGAUGGUGAUUAAUACAGAGAACCACAACAGGCCAACAUGAAGACAACAAGAGCAGAAGAGUGCUUAUCCCAGAAUAGGACAUCUAUAUCAAACUUCUGUCUUCUAAGGCUGAGGAUCAUGUGGAAGAGUAGGAAGAAAGAUCGUAAGAGUCAGAGGUGGAAGAUGACUGCAAGGAGACAGGGUUUUCCAGGCAGCUGCUCAAAGAAAAAGCUUCUUCAUUUGGUGUUUGUGUUCAAUGGUCAAGUUUCCAGUGUGGUAGGCUGGAGGAGAGCGAGGAAGAGCAGAAGCCCACAGCAUAACUCCUGGCCCAGGCCACAGCAGAGAGACGGGGGACAAACACUGUGGAAAAGCAUCAGGAGGUCCAAGAGCAGGAAAAGAAUGAGAGAUUGUACAUGACAAAUUGGCACGGCCAGGCUGCUGUGGCUGUCUCUACGGACCCAAGCAUCCCCAACGUCAUUGUGACCGGCAUGACCUUGAUGUGCAGCACUGCCCCAGACCCCUUGGAGCUGGAGCUUCAAGGAGCAGUGGUUUGUGCUGAAAAGGAUGUGGAGUGCCUGAUAAUAAUCCCAUAAUCCCUUUCCCGGUGAUCAGAGAGAUGGUGUCAGGUAUGAAUCACACUCACAGGACUCAUGGAAUGCAGAAAUGGUUCCUGCUACUUCAAUACACAGAAAGUUGAAUUCACACAUGCAUAUGAAAAAUAAAAAAGGACAAAAGCUAUACUCUUUUUUUUUCCAAAUUACCUUUUCUUGUUAUCGAUUCUAAAUGUUACAUUCCUUUUUUAUUCCCCUAACCAUUAACGUAGGAAUCAGAUAUGACUGGACACUGCAUACAUGACCCACUUGGAAAAAGUGAUGUUGUUAAUGAUUGCUGUAUUAUGUGUCUUAUGCUUGGGUGCUUUUAAUAAGAGUUGAGUUGUCG